CCUACGGGGGGCAGCAGUGGGGGAUAUUGCACAAUGGGGGAAACCCUGAUGCAGCGACGCCGCGUGAGUGAAGAAGUAUUUCGGUAUGUAAAGCUCUAUCAGCAGGGAAGAAAAUGAAAGUAACUGAACAAGAAGGCCCGGCUAAAUACGUGCCAGCAGCCGCGGUAAUACGUAGGGGGCAAACGUUAUCCGGAUUUAAUGGGUGUAAAGGGGGGGUAGACGGGUAUGUAAGUUCGAAGUGAAAGCCCGGGGCCCAACCCCGGGACUGCUUUGGAAACUGUGUAACUGGAGUACAGGAGGGGCAGGUGGAAUUCCUGGUGUAGCGGUGAAAUGCGUAGAUAUCAGGAGGAACACCAGCGGCGAAGGCGGCCUGCUGGACUGAAACUGACGUUGAGGCUCGAAAGCGUGGGGAGCAAACAGGAUUAGAUACCCGAGUAGUC
rnacentral:rRNA from 1 species